rnacentral:lncRNA from 1 species
AUCCUAUUUUAGGUUUCCCAUUAGCUGUACAGAUGGUGGGACUGCUUUUACGAGCAGUCUUAGGUAGAGCGGAUUCUAUGUAGCUUUUUUAGAGAAUUUUUCGAAUCUAAUUCCUUGGGGAUGAUGUUUUCUUCUGUACAUAGAUAAUUCUUUCGUACUAUAAUAUCGGAAAAACUUUCAUUUGCUUAUUGUCCACAACUUGAAUUUAAGAAAAAGUUUUCUCGAGUAAUUAUUUUGAUGAUUUUUG